rnacentral:rRNA from 1 species
CAUGUCUUUUUGAUUAUGAUUUAAAGUCUGGCCUGCCCGUUGAUAAUAAUUAAAUGGCUGCGGUAUUUUGACCGUACUAAGGUAGCAUAAUAAUUAGUUUUUUAAUUGGGGACUAGUAUGAAUGGCUGAACGAGAAAGUAACUGUCUCUAUAAUAAUUUUAUUAGAAUUUUAUUUUUAAGUUAAAAAGCUUAAAUUUCUAUAGAAGACGAGAAGACCCUAUAGAGCUUAAUAUAAAUGGAUAUGGGAUUUUUUGGAAACUGUUAGUUUUAUAUUUUUUAAAUAUUUGGUUGGGGUGACAAUAAGAUUAAAUUAACUCUUAUUAUAAUAUACAUUAAUUUGUGAUUAAUUGAUCCAAUUUUUUUUGAUUAAAAGAAUAAGUUACCUUAGGGAUAACAGCGUAAUCUUUUUGGAGAGUUCCUAUCGAAUAAAAGGGUUGCGACCUCGAUGUUGGAUUAAAGUUAAAUUUUGACGUAAAGGUUAAGAAUUUAAGUCUGUUCGACUUUUAAAACUUUACAUGAUCUGAGU